GGACAGUCAUCGCCGAGUCCCCCCACGGCGCGAGCCAGGGGAGCCGGGGACCCAACGCAGUCCCUGGGGUGAAUCGGACGCCCGCGCGUGAGCGAGGGGGUCCGUAGGAGACCUUCCUGCUCCGAACCCGUCAGCUAACCCGGUAGGCGAGAAGGAAGGAAAG
rnacentral:sRNA from 2 species